rnacentral:rRNA from 1 species
UACGGAGGGUGCAAGCGUUAUCCGGAUUUACUGGGUUUAAAGGGAGCGCAGGCGGAUUAGUAAGUCAGUGGUGAAAGACGGUAGCUUAACUAUCGCAGUGCCUUUGAUACUGAAGAGCUUGAAUGAACUAGAGGUAGGCGGAAUGUGACAAGUAGCGGUGAAAUGCAUAGAUAUGUCACAGAACACCAAUUGCGAAGGCAGCUUACUAUGGUUUUAUUGACACUGAGGCACGAAAGCGUGGGGAUCAAACAGG